UCUACGGGAGGCAGCAGUGAGGAAUCUUGGUCAAUGGGCGCGAGCCUGAACCAGCCAAGUCGCGUGAGGGAUGACGGUCCUACGGAUUGUAAACCCUUUUUGCCGGAGAGCAAGCGUGCGUUCGUGAAUGCGCGCCGAGAGUACCCGGAGAAAAAGCAUCGGCUAACUCCUGGCCAGCAGCCGCGGUAGUACGGAGGAGGGGAGCGUUAUACGGUUUGAUUGGGUUGAAAGGGUGCGUAGGCGGGAUGCCAAGUCAGCGGUAAAAAUGCGGUGCUCAACGCCGUCGGGCCGUUGAAACUGGCGUUCUUGAGUGGGCGAGAGGUAUGCGGAAUGCGUGGUGUAGCGGUGAAAUGCGUAGAUAUCACGAAGAACUCCGGUUGCGAAGGCAGCAUACCGGCGCCCUACUGACGCUGAGGCACGAAAGCGUGGGUAUCGAACAGGAUUAGAUACCCUUGUAGUC
rnacentral:rRNA from 1 species